rnacentral:rRNA from 1 species
AGAACGAACGCUGGCGGCGUGGAUAAGACAUGCAAGUCGAACGCGACUUAUCUGGUUAGCAAUAACUAGGUAAGUUGAGUGGCGAAAGGGUGCGUAACACGUGGGAAUUUACCAAGAAGUGGGGAAUAGCUCGACGAAAGUCGAAUUAAUACCGCAUAUGAUCGCAAGAUCAAAGCCGGGGACCGCAAGGCCUGGCGCUUUUUGAGAAGCCCGCGGCCCAUCAGCUAGUUGGCGGGGUAAUGGCCCACCAAGGCUAUGACGGGUAGCUGGUCUGAGAGGACGACCAGCCACACUGGAACUGAGACACGGUCCAGACACCUACGGGUGGCAGCAGUCGAGAAUUUUUCACAAUGGACGAAAGUCUGAUGGAGCGACGCGCGUGGAGGAUGAAGUUUUCGGAUUGUAAACUCCUGUCACUGCAGAACAAGGAUACAUUUAUGAAUAGUAAGUGUAUUUGAUGGUAUGCGGAGAGGAAGGGACGGCGUAACU